rnacentral:rRNA from 1 species
AUCUGGCCUCAAAUCAGGUAGGACUACCCGCUGAACUU